UGGGGAAUAUUGCACAAUGGGCGCAAGCCUGAUGCAGCCAUGCCGCGUGUAUGAAGAAGGCCUUCGGGUUGUAAAGUACUUUCAGUCGGGAGGAAGGUGUCAAGGUUAAUAACCUUGGCAAUUGACGUUACCGACAGAAGAAGCACCGGCUAACUCCGUGCCAGCAGCCGCGGUAAUACGGAGGGUGCAAGCGUUAAUCGGAAUUACUGGGCGUAAAGCGCACGCAGGCGGUUGAUUGAGUCAGAUGUGAAAUCCCCGGGCUUAACCCGGGAAUUGAAUCUGAUACUGGUCAGCUAGAGUCGUGUAGAGGGGGGUAGAAUUCCAUGUGUAGCGGUGAAAUGCGUAGAGAUGUGGAGGAAUACCGGUGGCGAAGGCGGCCCCCUGGACAAAGACUGACGCUCAGGUGCGAAAGCGUGGGGAGCAAACAGG
rnacentral:rRNA from 1 species